rnacentral:tRNA from 1 species
GUCAGGAUGGCCGAGCGGUCCAAGGCGCUGCGUUCAGGUCGCAGUCCGGUCUUCCGGGCGUGGGUUCGAAUUCCACUCCUGACA